GAAGUAGUGGUAUAGUGGUUUGAACAUUGGACUAGGACUCUGAAGAUUAGGGCUCAAAUCCCCACUAGACCA